rnacentral:rRNA from 1 species
UGCCUACGGGAGGCAGCAGUGAGGAAUAUUGGUCAAUGGACGAGAGUCUGAACCAGCCAAGUAGCGUGAAGGAUGACUGCCCUAUGGGUUGUAAACUUCUUUUAUAAAGGAAUAAAACGAGGCACGUGUGCCUUUUUGCAUGUACUUUAUGAAUAAGGAUCGGCUAACUCCGUGCCAGCAGCCGCGGUAAUACGGAGGAUCCGAGCGUUAUCCGGAUUUAUUGGGUUUAAAGGGUGCGUAGGCGGGAUGCCAAGUCAGCGGUAAAAAUGCGGUGCUCAACGCCGUCGCGCCGUUGAAACUGGCGU